rnacentral:rRNA from 1 species
AGCAGGACGGUGGCCAUGGAAGUUGGAAUCCGCUAAGGAGCGUGUAACAACUCACCUGCCGAAUGAACUAGCCCCGAAAAUGGAUGGCGCUGAAGCGCGCGGCCUAGACCCGGCCAUCAAGGCGAAGCGAGGCCUUGAUGAGUAGGAGGGCGUGGGGGCUGUGGCGAAGCGUGGGGCGCGAGCCCGCGUGAAGCAGCCUCUAGUGCAGAUCUUGGUGGUAGUAGCAAAUAUUCAAGUGAGAACCUUGAAGGCUGAAGUGGAGAAGGGUUCCAUGCGAACAGUGUUUGGACAUGGGUUAGUCGUUCCUAAGAGAUAGGGUAACGCCGUGUUAAGGAGCCCUUGUGGCUCGCCUAUCGAAAGGGAAUCGGGUUAACAUUCCCGAACCGGGAUGUGGAGAGUAAGCGGCAACGCAAAUGAACUUGAGGACGUCGGCGGGAGCCCCGGGCAAGGUUGUCUUUCUUGUUUAACGCGCCCAACGCCCUGGAAUCAGAUUAUCUGGAGAUAGGGCUUGUCGGCCGGGAAAGUACCUCGAACUGUGAGGUAUCUGGUGCGCUCUCGACGGCCCCUGAAAACUCAAGGGAACGGAUGAAUUUCACGCCCGGACGUACCCAUAACCGCAUCAGGUCUCCAAGGUGAGCAGCCUCUAGUCGAUAGAAGAAUGUAGAUAAGGGAAGUCGGCAAGAUAGAUCCGUAACUUUGGGAAAAGGAUUGGCUCUGAGGGUUGGGCGUCC